rnacentral:tRNA from 1 species
GCCUUCGUGGUGUAGUGGUCAGCACACUCGACGCGUAUUCCAGAGUAUUCCGUGGUUCGAGUCCCGGUGAGGGCA